GCUUCCGGACCGGCUCUUCCCCGCAUCCCCUGCAGUGAACCGGACCGGCUCUUCCCCGCAUCCCCUGCAGUGAACCGGACCGGCUCGUCCCGGCGCCUCCAGUUCUCACCGACGCCAGACCGGCUUGCCCACAUUGACCUCGACCUCGACAGGCUCUUCAACAAAAGUAUGAAUUUUUUCAACCAAUUUCUCUAGUAUCUGUCAUUGCAAGUGCAGCAAAUUUUAGAAUUUGUUGUCUUUGUGUUUCAGAGUUGAUUUGAUGGACGAAUUCAGAGUAGAAGUAGAUGUUCAAAAUGACUUGAAAUGAAGUCAGAAUGCCUGCUGAAAUGUAGCCCAAUUGUGCUGAAAUGAUGUAUAUUUUGCUGUCAAAGUGUGCUGAAAUGUUUUGGAAAUCUGUUGGUUUGUUGUGGAAGUGUGUUGAAAUGCUGUCAAAAUAUGCUGAAAUGCUGAUAAGUGUGCUCAUAUGCUCAUAAAGUGUGCUGAAAUGUUGUCCAAGUGUGUUGAAAUGCUGUCCAAAUGUGCUGAAUUAUUGUCAUACUUGCUACUAAGUUGUAAGUGUAACACGUGAAGAGGUAAGGGCACAUAUGUCCUUUUUGGAUGAUGUUAGACCCAGUUAACAACUAGUGGCAUUUUGGCUACAAAAAACUGUAUUGAGUGUUAUUUUGGCAAGUUGGUUUUCACUAGUGGCAUUUUGGCAUGUUCGGUUUUCACUAGUGGUAUUUUGGCUAUUUGCUCUAUACCUUGCCAGACAUUCUGCAAUUCUGUUUUGAGUUCUAU
rnacentral:lncRNA from 1 species